GACGAACGCUGGCGGCGUGCUUAACACAUGCAAGUCGAACGGAAAGGCCCUGCUUUUGUGGGGUGCUCGAGUGGCGAACGGGUGAGUAACACGUGAGUAACCUGCCCUUGACUUUGGGAUAACUUCAGGAAACUGGGGCUAAUACCGGAUAGUAGCUCCUGCUUCAUGGUGGGGGUUGGAAAGUUUCGGCGGUUGGGGAUGGACUCGCGGCUUAUCAGCUUGUUGGUGGGGUAGUGGCUUACCAAGGCUUUGACGGGUAGCCGGCCUGAGAGGGUGACCGGCCACAUUGGGACUGAGAUACGGCCCAGACCCCUACGGGAGGCAGCAGUGGGGAAUAUUGCACAAUGGGCGGAAGCCUGAUGCAGCAACGCCGCGUGCGGGAUGACGGACUUCGGGUUGUAAACCGCUUUCGCCUGUGACGAAGCGUGAGUGACGGUAAUGGGUAAAGAAGCACCGGCUAACUACGUG
rnacentral:rRNA from 1 species